rnacentral:ncRNA from 1 species
ACACAGGCAAUGAAGAGAAGAGUACGCUUCGCACAGUCGCCAAAGAGAGCCCCGGACGGUGAAAAGGGGUGCGAAAGGCGGGGCGGAAAAUGGUCUCGGAGCUGCGCACCGACCGGGCGGAAAAGCCCCUAGGCUGCGACGGGGGCGCCCGUUACCGCGCCGGGGUAUCGACAGGCAAAAGGGGGAAAAGCCCCGCCCGUCCGCACCCGCCGAGGCCCGCUUUUUUCGGGCAAAAUCAAGGUGGUACCGCGAAGCUGACAGCUCUCGCCCUUGCA